CCCUUAGAUGUUCUGGGCCGCACGCGCGCUACACUGAUGCAUUCAACGAGUUUCUUCCUGGUCCGAGAGGAAUGGGUAACCUUUUGAAAGUGCAUCGUGAUAGGGAUAGACUAUUGCAAUUAUUGGUCUUCAACGAGGAAUUCCUAGUAGACGUAGUUCAUCAGACUGCAUCGAUUACGUCCCUGCCCUUUGUACACACCGCCCGUCGCUCCUACCGAUUGAAUGCUCAGGUGAGCCAUUCGGACUUUCAUCAUGCUGGUUUCCAGUUUUGAUGAAGGAAAGUCUUGCGAACCUUAUUAUUUAGAGGAAGGAGAAGUCGUAACA
rnacentral:rRNA from 1 species